rnacentral:rRNA from 1 species
GAUGAACGCUAGCGGCAGGCUUAAUACAUGCAAGUCGAGGGGGCAGCAAUGUCACCGGCGGACGGGUGCGUAACGCGUAUGAAACCUACCUUUAUCAGGGGGAUAGCCCGGGGAAACCCGGAUUAAUACCGCAUAAUAUGUUGAAUGGCAUCAUUUGAUAUUGAAAGAUUUAUUGGAUAGAGAUGGUCAUGCGUAGGAUU